AGAGUUUGAUCCUGGCUCAGAACGAACGCUGGCGGCGUGCUUAACACAUGCAAGUCGCGUGCGCAGUUGCCGUAGCAAUACGGUGAUGGGCGCACGGCGCACGGGUGCGUAACACGUGGGCAAUCUACCCUUUGAUGGGGAAUAACCCGCCGAAAGGCGGGCUAAUUCCGCAUAAGAUUCUUUAGACUUCGGUCUGAAGAUUGAAAGCAGCAAUGCGUCGAAGGAGGAGCCCGCGCCCGAUUAGCUAGUUGGUGAGGUAACGGCUCACCAAGGCUAUGAUCGGUAGCUGGUCUGAGAGGAUGAUCAGCCACACUGGAACUGAGACACGGUCCAGACUCCUACGGGAGGCAGCAGUGGGGAAUCUUGCACAAUGGGCGAAAGCCUGAUGCAGCGACGCCGCGUGGGGGAUGAAGCAUUUCGGUGUGUAAACCCCUUUCGACUGGGACGAAUGCCUCGCAAGAGGAGUGACGGUACCAGUAGAAGAAGCCCCGGCUAACUACGUGCCAGCAGCCGCGGUAAGACGUAGGGGGCCAGCGUUGUUCGGAAUUACUGGGUGUAAAGGGUUCGUAGGCGGUGCGGCAAGUUGGGAGUGAAAUCUCUGGGCUCAACCCAGAGGCUGCUUCCAAAACUGCUGUGCUCGAGUGUGAGAGAGGCGCGUGGAAUUGCAGGUGUAGCGGUGAAAUGCGUAGAUAUCUGCAGGAACACCCGUGGCGAAAGCGGCGCGCUGGAUCACUACUGACGCUGAGGAACGAAAGCUAGGGGAGCAAACAGGAUUAGAUACCCUAGUAGUCC
rnacentral:rRNA from 1 species